rnacentral:lncRNA from 1 species
UUAUCAUUUUUCCUCUAGGUGUCAUCAUUUUCCUUUCUCCGUCCACUCAACGUAUAUGGCAAAAAAGAGGGGAGGGUUUUGUAGAAAAUAAAAAGAGGAGAGAAAUACUUAUAUCUUUGCUGCCUUCUGCCUGUCUUCUUUGAGACCGUUUAGAACUCUUCCAAUAGACUUGCUUUGCUCAGCCUUGUUUGUUUGUUAAUUUACUUUUAUAUUUGACCUUCUCGGUAGCCUCUUUCUCUAGCACUGACCACCUCCGGUGAGUACACUGCUGUUUCCGCCCGCCCGGCGCUGGUUACCUCACUCCCGGCGUGCUGUUCGCUGGAGUGUGUGUGUCCCUUAAAGGAAUCCCCCCUGCUUCCUGUUACCAGGAGCAGAUCUCGCAGUCGGCUUGAGUUGCGGACAACUCCCCAAUUCUCGUGCGACAACUUGUGGGAUGCGUCUCUUAGACACAAUCCUCACACUGCCGCCUCUUUCCAAGAACUCCAUGAGUCAUUUUAAAAUUUGAGCAACCCCCGGUGCCCACGCUGGUCGGAAUACCCUGGUGCCCAUGCCGGUCGGGUUACCCCGGUGCCCGCGCCGGUCGGGCUACCCCAGUGCCCGCGCUGUGCCUGCCUUUGGGGGCCUUCAGAGAUUGUGAGGUAAGUGGUAUUUAUAUAUCUGUAGAAGGUCCAGGGUAGGGAGGUGUUAGCUGUCCCUGAUUGUUUACUGUCUGGAUUUCUCCUGUUUUCAGAGUGUUAUUUUCUAUUUAUUGUCCUGAUUUUAGAGGGUUUUUUUUAAUACUGGGGGCUAUCUGGAUUAUCUAAGUCCACAUUGCUGUCCACAUCCCUGUUCAAUGUUUGGUGCUAAAUUCGCAAAUAUAGUAAUUCCUACAUAACAUUACCAUGUAUUGAACUGUUUUUUCUGUUGAUUUGUUGUAAAACAUGAUGUUUUGGUGCUUAGGCCCUUUUGGCCUAAGAAAUUUUUACAUGGCCUCAAGUUAUAAGUAUAUAAAAUACAUAUAAAAAUCAAAUAUUUACUGAUUACAAAUCAGCAUUUGAAAGGCUUGCUGAAGUGGCAGAUUUUCCUUUUUUCAUGUACAGCUGAAGCAUCUUCUGCUGAGUGCACUGUAAACACUGCACAACAGAUUUGUGUAGUCUAGACAAAAGGCAUCUCUUAGAAUCCACAAACAAAUGUAUUAAUAUUGUUAAGAAUCUAUACACAUAUUUUCCCCUUCUGAAGACUUUAGUGAUCACUAUUGCACAGGACCUAAAAAGAAAAGGGAAAAAGCAAAGGUAGAAAUCCAAUUCAGGAAUCAAUACAAUUUAAAACGUCUUUAUGAAUUCAAAUAUAGCAGCUACAACACAUAUACAUACACAUGCACACACAAACAUUGGUAUAAUAUUUCAACCUAUGUGAGUAACAUUUUUAAUAGUAGCACUGAAAAAUAGUACAAAAAAGGGAUAGUUAAGAACACCAGAAUCAUCUACAUCCUGGUCCCUGUCUCAAGAACAUUUCCUUUGCACUACUAAUAAUCAGUUAACAAGUGGUGUCAAUUUCUGACAGGUACAAUGUUAAAACUAAGAGAGUCACCACCAUCUCCAGAACUGCAGAGUGGAACCAACCCCUGAGGUCUGGGCAGCUCACAUCCUGCCAGCAAGUCUAAUUGGACAGCAGGAGAUCCUUGAGAUGGAAGAUUAAUGAGCUUCAUUGGCAGAAUAUACCUGAUUCCCCCAGAGGCUGAAGAGUUAUAAACUGACAUCAGGGGAAAGUGUAACGAACAUGAAAACUUCAACUUCUAAUGGACUUGCUUCUUGUAUAAUGUGGUUAGUUACUGUUCAAAGCUUCACUUUUUAUUUUAUUUAUUUUAUUGCCUGUUUAUGUGUGUCACAGAAAUGAUAAUUUUGACAUUUUUUAUGUUUUUCUGCAUCCAACUGCAAGAAAACUGUAAAAUCUUUUCCUUCUCUCCUAUACACACAGAGAGACACGAUUAGCAUUUGGGAAACUGCAAUGUACAAUGG